CCUACGGGUGGCAGCAGUGAGGAAUAUUGGUCAAUGGACGAGAGUCUGAACCAGCCAAGUAGCGUGAAGGAUGACGGCCCUAUGGGUUGUAAACUGCUUUUAUAGGGGAAUAAAAUGUAACACGUGUGGGAUUUUGUAUGUACCAUAUGAAUAAGGAUCGGCUAACUCCGUGCCAGCAGCCGCGGUAAUACGGAGGAUCCGAGCGUUAUCCGGAUUUAUUGGGGUUAAAGGGAGCGUAGGUGGCUUGUUAAGUCAGUGGUGAAAGUUUGCGGCUCAACCGUAAAAUUGCCGUUGAAACUGGCAGUCUUGCGUACAGUAGCGGUGGGCGGACUUCGUGUUGUAGCGG
rnacentral:rRNA from 1 species